GACGAACGCUGGCGGCGUGCUUAACACAUGCAAGUCGAACGGAAAGGCCCUGCUUUUGGGGGGUGCUAGAGUGGCAAACGGGUGAGUAACACGUGAGUACCGUGCCCUUGACUGUGGGAUAACUUCGGGACACUGGGGCUAAUACCGGAUAGGAGCUCCUGCUGCAUGGUGGGGGUUGGAAAGUUUCGGCGGUUGGGGAUGGACUCGCGGCUUUUCAGCUGGUUGGUGGGGUAGUGGCUUACCAGGGCUUUGCCGGGUAGCCGGCCUGAGAGGGUGACCGGCACCAUGGGGACUGGGAUACGGCCCAGACCCCUCCGGGAGGAAGCAGUGGGGAAUAUUGCACAAUGGGCGGAACCCGGAUGCAGCAACGCCGGGUGCGGGAUGACGGCUUUCGGGUUGUAACCCGUUUUCGCCUGUGACGAAGCGUGAGUGACGGUAAUGGGUAAAGAAGCACCGGCUAACUACGUG
rnacentral:rRNA from 1 species